GAUGAAGAACGCAGCGAAAUGCGAUACGUAAUGUGAAUUGCAGAAUUCAGUGAAUCAUCGAAUCUUUGAACGCAUAUUGCGCUCUUUGGUAUUCCGAAGAGCAUGCUUGUUUGAGUAUCAGUAAACACCUCAACCUCUUCUUGAUUUUUCAAAAGGAGGGUGGACUUGAGUUAUCCCAACAACCUUUACCGGUCGGCGGGCGGCUUGAAAUGCAGGUGCAGCUGGACUUUUAUCUGAGCUAAAAGCAUAUCUAUUUAGUCCUCGUCAAACAGGAUUAUUACUUUUGCUGCAGCUAACAUAAAGGAUAAUUGUCCUCUUUGCUGACUGAUGCAGGAUUUUACGACACUUUAUGUGUUGUUCAACUCGAUCUCAAAUCAAGUAAGACUACCCGCUGAACUUAAGCAUAUCAAUAAGCGGAGGA
rnacentral:misc_RNA from 1 species